rnacentral:tRNA from 1 species
GCCACUUUAGCUCAGUUGGUAGAGCAUGUCACUCGUAACGACAAGGUCCCGAGUUCAAUCCUCGGAGGUGGCUC